AAUUAUCUACAAAAGAAAGGUAUCUUGUGAAAAUAAAUAUACAUCAAAAUACAAUACAUUCUAUACAUUUUAUCAUUUAAAAAGGGCAUAUAAGUAAAUAUAUUACUUUUAUAUAUGUAGACUCUCAAAAUAUUAUGUUUUAAGGUUCUUGUGUAAAAUUUUAAUAAUAAAGCAAUCUAUGAAUGUGAUAAAGCCUUUGUCACAUUGACGUAUCCUAGCACUUCACCCUUAAUUAGUGCUAUCACUGCAAAUAUGAGCCAAUCCAUGAAAUAGCACAACAGAGAGGACAAGCCUCGAAGCUCUUGCCUGAAGUGGCUCAAUACGAAUUACUUUUACACUUGUUUCUGCAUGUGCAUAUGAGACCAAACAAGGUUGCAGAAAACAGUAUUUGGGAGUGGGUUCUCUCCCACCACCCAAUGGGAUCUGGGGACCAGAACACUGACCUACAUGUAAGCUACUCUACCAACUGAGCCUGCCUAGAAGCCCCCAAUGUGAAUUAACGUUUUAAAAUAUCCAUACUUAAGAAAAUAAUUUUUGCUUUUCAAGUACCAAGCAAAAACAUUUCAUUGAGAUUUUAUUAGUAACAAUUAGUUGAAUAUACCAACUCUUGACAUUUGGAUAGCUGAAACUAUUUUUUGGUUAGUCUUCUAGAUGUUCUGCAUCAUGAAAUGGCUUUAAUUUGUAUAUCAAAUUCUAAUGUCCAUCAAGGACACAAUAUAGGUAUGUUUAAAAAAAAACCCACCCUGAGAGGAAAUUACAUUAACAGUCAACACCAUCUAGUACAACUAUUUUACUUGAACAGGAACAUUAAAAUACACCCCUGCUCAAUCUGUGUGUAUUCAUGUCUCAUGUGUGCAGGUGCCCAUGAAGGCCAGAUAGAAACAUUGGGCCCCCUGGACUAGUGUACAGGCAGCUGUAAACGGUCCAAUGUGGGCGCUAGGAACUAAGCUGUUUCUCUGGCGGAGAAAAGCCUCUCUAGUCCAUGCUUAAAUGGCUCACGGAUGGUACUGGAAAUCAUGCAGUGUUCUUUUAUUAACAAAAUGGCCUUCACACAAAAAUAAAACUAGUACUUCAAAUAUUGACUUACAUGAAGUGGAAGAAAAAAGUCUUAGUUGUUCUAAGUUCUGUAAUAGCCAAUAUAACAGAACCAAAAUUAGAACUGGUCUUUAAAAAAAUUUGUUUUUAAAAAAAAUUUAUGUGCAUUGAUAUUUUGCCUGCAUGUGUAUUUGUUUGAGAUGGGGCUGAAGUUACGGACAGUGAUGAGUUGCCAUGGGGGUGCUAGUCAGGUCCCCUAAAAGAGCAGCCAGUGCUGUUAAUUGCUGAGCCUUCUCUCCAGGUCCUAGAACUAGAAACCAUUAGAGUUUCUCAUAUUUUUCAAAUUUAUGUAAGAUUCAUUUUAUUUUUAAGUAUAUGGAUAUAUGUGUCCUUUAUGCAUAUGGAUGCAGGUACCUCUGAAGGUCAGAAGAGGGUGUCUCAUAAUUUGGAGAUGAAGUUACAGAAGUUUGAGCUAGCUGCAAUGAAUGUUGGAAAGUGAACUCAGAUCUUCUGCAAGAGCAGAACGUGAUCUUAACUGCUGAGCCAUCUCUCCAGCUCUACAAAAAGUUUUCAAAGAUGCAGUCAGGUCUCUGUGUGUUUGAGGCCAGCCUGGUCUACACAGCGAGUUCCAGGACAGCCAGGCGCACAUAGAGAAACACUGUCUCAUAAAUACCAGGAAAAAAGUGAAAAAGUAAAAUCUCAAAGUACUCUGACAAAAAAGUGUUAUAAAAACCAGGUAACGCAUGUGGAGAAAGAGGAACACUUCUCCAAUGUUGGUGGGAUUGCAAGCUGGUACAACCACUCUGGAAAUCAGUCUGGCGGUUCCUCAAACAAUUGGACAUAGUAUUACCCAAGGACCCAGCUACACCUCUCCUGGACAUGUACCCAAAACAUGGUACAACAUAUCACAA